rnacentral:sRNA from 12 species
UUCUUAGCUGGGGAUUCACCACCACCAGCGGCUAAGACGAAAGUGCUACUGGGGGAAUAAAGGAUGUAACAGCACACAAGUCGGUGGCGAAGAAAGAGCCGAUUCCUUGAACGUCUUUCGGGU